rnacentral:lncRNA from 1 species
AAUAUUACAAUUAUAAAAUUAGAAUUUUAUUUUACACUAUUUAUAUAAUUUAGAUAAUAAUAUGUUACAGGACAUUUCUAAACUAUGAACCAUUUUAAAUUUACUAUCUAACCUUUAAAUUUAAAUUUUACUAUCAAACUUUUCAAUUUAUUUGAAUCGAGUUAGUCGAAGGCACUCGAACUUCAAAAUUUAAGCUAAUUAUUUAUUUCAAUGAAUUGUAUGAAAUAUGAUAAUUAAAUCUAUAAAAAUAAACGGUAUAUUUAAAUUUUAAAGUUGAAGUAGUCUUGACUGACUCAAAUAAAAUAAAUUUUAAAAAAAGUAAUAAUAAAAUUAAAAUUUUAAAAGAUUUGGUGCUAACUCCGAAUAAUUUAUAUUUCAGAUAAGUU